GAUGAACGCUGGCGGCGUGCCUAAUACAUGCGAGUCGAGCGAACAGACGAGGAGCUUGCUCCUCUGACGUUAGCGGCGGACGGGUGAGUAACACGUGGAUAACCUACCCAUAAGACUGGGAUAACUUCGGGAAACCGGAGCUAAUACCGGAUAAUAUAUUGAACCGCAUGGUUCAAUAGUGAAAGACGGUUUUGCUGUCACUUAUAGAUGGAUCCGCGCCGCAUUAGCUAGUUGGUAAGGUAACGGCUUACCAAGGCAACGAUGCGUAGCCGACCUGAGAGGGUGAUCGGCCACACUGGAACUGAGACACGGUCCAGACUCCUACGGGAGGCAGCAGUAGGGAAUCUUCCGCAAUGGGCGAAAGCUUGACGGAGCAACGCCGCGUGAGUGAUGAAGGUCUUCGGAUCGUAAAACUCUGUUAUUAGGGAAGAACAAAUGUGUAAGUAACUAUGCACGUCUUGACGGUACCUAAUCAGAAAGCCACGGCUAACUACGUG
rnacentral:rRNA from 1 species